UACGUAGGGGCGCAAGCGUUGUCCGGAAUUAUUGGGCGUAAAGAGCUCGUAGGCGGCUUGUCACGUCGGGUGUGAAAGCCCGGGGCUUAACCCCGGGUCUGCAUUCGAUACGGGCUAGCUAGAGUGUGGUAGGGGAGAUCGAAUUCCUGGUGUAGCGGUGAAAUGCGCAGAUAUCAGGAGGAACACCGGUGGCGAAGGCGGAUCUCUGGGCCAUUACUGACGCUGAGGAGCGAAAGCGUGGGGAGCGAACAGG
rnacentral:rRNA from 1 species